UAGGUGCGAUCAUAUCACCACUAACGCAUCGAAUCCCAUCACAACUCCAUAAUUAAGCAUGCUUCAGCUAGAGUAGCACUGAGAUGGGUGACCUCUUGGGAAGUCCUUGUAUUCCACCCUC
rnacentral:rRNA from 1 species